rnacentral:rRNA from 1 species
CAGCCGCCGCGGGAACACCGGCAGCUCUAGUGGUAGCAAUUUUAUUGGGCCUAAAGCGUCCGUAGCCGGUUUAAUAAGUCUCUGGUGAAAUCCUGCAGCUUAACGUGUGGGAAUUGCUGGAGAUACUAUAGACUUGAGACCGGGAGAGGUUAGAGGUACUCCCAGGGUAGAGGUGAAAUUCUGUAAGUCCUGGGAGGACCGCCUGUUGCGAAGGCGUCUAACUGGAACGGUUCUGACGGUGAGGGACGAAAGUUAGGGGCGCGAACCGGAUUAGAUACCCGGGUAGUCCUAACUGUAAACGAUGCGGACUUGGUGUUGGGUGGCUUUGAGCUGCUUCAGUGCCGAAGGGAAGCUGUUAAGUCCGCCGCCUGGGAAGUACGGUCGCAAGACUGAAACUUAAGGAAUUGGCGGGGGAGCACCACAACGCGUGGAGCCUGCCGGUUUAAUUGGAUUCAACGCCGGACAUCUCACCAGAGGCGACAGCUGUAUGAUAGCCAGGUUGAUGACUUUGCUUGACUAGCUGAGUGGUGGUGCAUGG